CUAACAAUGUACUUGUACCAGAAGUAUCGUAAUACCAUUAAUCAGCAUACUUAUAUUGGAUGCAUCAUUAGAGUUUGAAGAUAAUGAAGAUGCCAUUAUUGAGAAAAGACGUCAUAGGAGGAAGAAUUCUGAGCAGAAACAUCAAUAUGUCAUGUCCUUAUCUUUCAUUUCGGUUUGAUACUAUAUGUACAUUCACAUUAAAAGUUAGUGUUAUUUCAAUUA